GCGUACAGCUAAAUAAAUUAUUUAUAACUUUAAUAUUUUCUUCCACGUCCAAUCAAAUAUGAUGUACGUAGUUGUAACAAUUAUAUUUUUAACUCUAUAUAUUUUCAACUAUACUGUAUUUACAAUUUCAUUAACGGUCUGAUUUCUAUUUUAAAUCAAACAUGCUCUAGAUUAGGGCUGGACCAGAUACGAACUUGGUGAAUUUCACGUGGCAUGAGCCCGACCCAGCCCAAUUUGUUUAGACUGACUUUAAGCCCUAGUCCAAUCUGAAAUAAGCGAGCCGGGCCAGAUCGGGUCGGAUCAAAUGGAAAAACGUCGACAAGUCCGGGUCCGGCGCGAAUUUUCUCAAGCCUUUGUUUUGAGGGGCUAAUCCGGCCCAACAAACUAAAAUUGGGCCGGGUGUGCGAGUUGCGCGGGUUGGGCAGUGUUUGCAAAAGAUCAAUUGCAAGUAUUGAUACUAAGGUUCAUUUGGUAUUGAGAGCCGCCUAAGGCUUAGUUUGGUAUUAAGAUCUAUUUGACGCUGUUAGAUAAAAUGGAGUUAGGAAAAAAGCAUAUAGAAAUAUGCUUUUGCGUUCUCCGAUAGGAGCGCAGAAAAUAUAUUAUAACCGACUUAUCGCAAUUUGCGGAAAGUAAUAUUACGUAAGGAAACAAAUAUAGGAUAUUUUUCCAACGUACUUUCUCACCGCACUUAACGCAAUCUCCCCGUAAUCCCAAACGAAGCCUAAUUCUAUUCGGCGAAAAGGAGUUGUAACGAAAGCAGACAGAGAUUUAUUCUUUUCAUUUUUCUGGUGGGACUGUAAUGACUACGGACUUAAAACUAAAUAAGACAUAGUUAAAACAAAAUAAAAGGUUGGGUGAGACUCAAACUUAGGAGCUCUAGCUAUAAUAUCAUGCCAACAAAGCAACAAUCUAUAGUUAAAAUCUAAAAAUUUAAGUGUCGUGACACGAGAUUGUGUCAAGUCAGUGUAUGUCGAUCAUAAAAAUAUCUAUGCACCGACACACUAUGACAUAAAUAUUUAUUUUUUUAACACCAAAUAUGUUAUAUUUUUUUAUUAUAUCUUUUAUCAAUUUUUUGAAGUUUAUUGAGAUAGCUACUAUCUAGUUUCACAGAAAAAGAUGGUUUUAAUUAAGUUAUGCUAUCAGCACUAGAAUCGUAUCGUAUCGAUAUUUUGUCGGCAUGGCUCAUACUGAUGGACACUUAAAUUCUUAUUAAAAUUUUAAAUUAAUUGAGAAUUAGAAUUAGGCUACUGUAUUAUUAAUAGCACCAAGUUAUUGCUGCUAUUAGGUUUUUGGCUCUUGGAUGAAGGGAUGUGCAGUUAGGAUGGUAGCAGUCUCCGAGGAUUGAGUGGAUAGUUGGCUGAAUAGUAUGAUGGAAUAUGUGAAAAUUGUAGAUCACGAAAAACUCGAUAACACUAAACGCUUGGUGUUAUCGGUCUAUAUAUAUAUAUAUAGAAAGAGAGAGAGAGAGAGUCCGACUGGGAUACUAUCGAUAGCACCAAGUGCUUGGUGCUACCAAGUUUUCCGUCGUUAAAUUUAAUCCUUUGACUAUUUUUACCCGUUAGAUUAUACUAUUCAACCAAUAACUUACUCAACCCUAGGGUGCCCGCAUUAUCGUAACCGUACAUUUUUUUCAUCCAAAGGCCAAGAACUUAAUAGUACCAAUAGCUUUGUGUUAUUGAUAGUAUUCCAGCCUAUAUAUAUAUAUAUAUAUGGCUAAGUGCACGUGCAAUGCGCGUAGCAUAAAAUAUAAAAAUAAAAUGCAUAUUAUUUAAUAACUUAGAAAACUAAACACAUAGCUUCGAAAAACCUUUUUUAAAAUUCUAAACCAAUAGAAAUUUAAUUCUGGCUAACAUGUUGAAGUAUAUAAGAGUGCCUUAGUAGAUUUUCUUUCUUGGCGCAUAUGCAAGUGUCGAUAUUUGUAUAGAAUAGAUUGGCCUUCUUGUGGAUGUGGAUUGAGUUCUGCAAUAAUUUAAAAGCCAAAAAAUAUUAUAAAUUCCUUCAUAAAUUAAUAGGAAAUUUCUUUUGAAAUGAUAUAAGCAGAAAAAUCAAAACAACAUAAUAAUCCGAAGCUACAGAAAAAUACAAACAUCACAUAUAUACAUGUAUAUGUACAUGUNCUUUUGACCCCCCUAGCUUCUUUUUUUAAUUUUUUUUUCUUUUCUUUUUUUUUUGUAGUACCUUCAGUUGUCAGUUACUAAUAUGCAUAAGCAACUAGCAAAAAAAAAAAGAAAAGAAAAAAAGGUCCUCUACUUUCUCAUAAUUAAAGCCUUGUACAGAGAGUAAAAGAGUGGUCUGUUCACAAAUGUGAAAGCUCACGAGAGAAACCGCAUUAUUACAACAAAAGAAAAAAGGUACCAAAGCCAAAAGAGGUACCAAAGCAGAAACAGGAGGGAAGGUGCGUUUAAUGAAAGCUCCCUCCAGCUUCCUCAUCCAAAUCAUUGCGUUGCGUAGAAGCACUGCAAACCACGUUGGAUUGGGUUCAUACAUAUUCUUUCUUUUUUUCUUUUUUUCUUUUUAAUGUUUUAAGUUUGUAGGCUUUUACACAUGCACACACGCUUCUAUUCACGUGCUCGGUUUUACUACUACAGUAGAAGAUUACUUACUAACUGGUCUAUCAGCAUUGGCCGACAACUUAUGUUAAACUUGUUUAUAUACAUAUAUAUAUAUAUAUAUAUGUAUAUAUUUUUACUGUAGAAUGUAAAGCUGUUUGAAAAAGUGUUGUUGUGUUGAAUAGCAGUUUUAGGAGAAGGAUUUUACUGAAACAUUUAUGAGCUCAUUAAUUGCAAGUUGGUGAACGUAGUGCGAGUUACAAAUCAGAACUCUGCGGAGAACUCGGACCGAAUCAUUCCGUCUCCGGUUCACCCGCCAACUCCUUUUUUCUUUGUAGUACUCUUCGGGGGAAGAAUGCACUUGCAACAAAAGUUACCUUUCUUUUUUCUUCUUCUUCAACUAGAAGACAUUCAGGACAAGUUUCAAGAGGUCGAAAGCAUGAGUUCGACAAACGGCGUUCGAUAAUUAAGAAGAUUUCUACAAAAUUUUCCUUCUUAGGUAGUUUCCGCUCUCGGGCCUAAUCAUCGCAUUCUAACUUCUCUUGCUAUCACAGAAACUUCAGAAUAUCGUCAAAUUCUCCAUACAAAGUAACAACAGCUAAACUCAAAAGCAGAAGCAGGACUAAACAGACGAGGUAAACGCUACAUAUCAGCUUUAUAUUUUGGGGGGGCCCAAGCUCAGAAUCUUGGGCCAAUUAAUUAUCCCACAAGCUGGAACUGUUAAUGUGGGCCCACUUUAAUUGGUUGCAUCCAUGGAUUCAGAGCCCUUUACCAUUAUAUUAUAUGUGUCUACAUAAUUGGUAUCAUUUGGGCUUAUUCAUUUAUUAUUGAGUGAACCCAUGGAGUCAUGUUCAUGGACUUUUAUUAUCAUCAUCAUCACCAUCCAAUGCAUUGUUUUCAAUAUUUAUAUAUAAAUAUAUUGUGAGAUUUUGGUGGUCCUGAGAAAACAUGAAGGUAGUGCCUCCACUGUGCACAUUUAUUGCACUCCUAGCAUUCAUACAAGAGUUUUGGGGUCCCCUACGUACACGAAUGUUUCACGAGUUGAGUUGAGUACACGAAUGUUUCACGAGUUGAGCUGAGCGGCCGAACCAACGAUCGACACUGUUAAAUUUAUGUCCCACUCCUGUCCCAUUACCUGCGUUGUCUCCGGUUGGUAUCGCACCUUCGUUCCGUCGACUAGGUCUCGUGUCGGCCUUUCGUUCCGGUGGUGACCUAGGUCUCGAUUGUGUCAUCUUUUAGUUCCGUUGGUGAACUGCCUUUUCGGCUGAAGCUUUUUCUCUGGCCCCUCUGGGAAAAGAAAGCCCAUCCAAAACACGAUCUACGCCUUACGAACUUAUCUAUAAACCAAAUUUUGUGAUUCUUUAGCGCAUUAAUACUUGUCUAGCAUUCAAGUGGUCUCAAAAUCAACAAAUUGCAACGACAUAUAUGAGGUCUCCAUAUUUGAGAGCACCUGAUCACGAAGUAAAUAAUACCUAAAAAGAACACGAGAUUUGGUUUACAGGAUUGAUAUAUUUCUAAAAGUAUUGCAGCUCAAUUCUGUGUUUCACACCUUCUUAGUUCUCUUUGCAAUUAUACGAGUUUGUAAGCAUCAGUUUUCUUGUAUUUAAAGGACCUGUUCCAAUUCUUUCAUUCAAAAAAAAAUAAAAAUUAUAUAUAUAAAAUAAAUAAAUAAAAACCUGUCCUAACUUUUUGAGAAAGUACCUAGCAUGCAUGCAUGUGGUCUGUUCCUGAGAAGAGUGUUUGGAGGACUUGUCCUACUUUUGAAGCUUUAAUUUCUGAGAACUAGGGUUUCUUUUGCAGGUGUGAACAUGAGUUUUACAUGACCCUUUUUUUUUUUCUUUCUUUUUUGGUAACAGUAGAUUCCUUUUCCCUUUUUCCCUUUUUUUGUUUUCUGUUAUUCCUUUUCUCUUUUUUUUUUGUGUUUCGGAGGGCAUGCUAAAUUUAAUUAUUCAUCUUAUGGUUUUAACUUAUUUGUUACUAAUACUGUAAUACAUACAUUCUCUAUUUUAAAAAACAUAAAAUCCUGCUCUAAUUAAGGCGUCAAUAUUCUAUACUUUACGUACGAUGCUAUAUUAUUUACAAUUCUACGAUUCGCGACAGUUCUUGUAACACAGCAAAGUACAACUUUUAAAAUCACACAAAAAAAUUAAGCUGAGGAUUAAUUUUUAAACAACUUGGAAUGCUUGGUAUAUAUGCUUAAUUUGAGUGAGACUUAAAUAAAGUUUUUUUGUUUUUUUUUUUUAGCUGCUUGGUAUACAUGCUUUGAGUUUGUGACAGAAAUAAUAUCACUGACAAUUGCAUAGAACAUAACAAAUAUUGAGCAGCUUUUCAGUGGGCCAUCAUGGACUCAACUUGUAGGAGAGAGAGAGAGAGAGAGAGAGAGAGAGAGAGAGAGAGAGGGUGUAGAUAAACCAAAGAAGCCAAAAAGGUUUAAUUUCUGGGUCAAUAUUCAUCAGAGAGGGACAGCACAUAGUGCAUGACCUUCCCCUUCUCAAUACACAAAUAGGACAAGCAAAAAAAAAAGAAAAAGAAAAAGAAAAAAGAAAAAAGGUUGUUGUAUUGUAGCACUGAGAAGACACAAAGGCUCUGUGCUGUGCUUAUGAAUGUAUGUGUAGUGCUUGUGUAAUGUGCAUGUGUGUGUGUGUGUGUGUGUGUGUGUGUGUGUGUGUGUGUUUUUGUUUAUGUCUGUGUUUGUGUUUGCUCCCAAGAUCACUUUUUCUUUUCUUUUCUUUUUUGGUGUUGCUUUUGCUGUUAUUUGUAAAAAAAGAAAACAAAACCCUCUCUUUUGUAUAUUAGCAUUUGGCCACUACCUAUAGAUAUAUAUAUAUAUACUUUCAUUGGACCUAGUCACAAGAAACAUUAAAAGGUAGGUAUAUAAUUACUAUUUGGCUACUAUUUAAUUUGGUUUUUUUAGGUUAUGUUCACUUUACCUAUAUUGUUGUUUGAUGAAGUGCAUAUCAGAAAUUAAAGAAACUCAAAUUAUUGCUAUAGCAAUAUUUUCACUUACUAAAAAGAAAAAAAAAGAAGAAAAAUCCUAUAAUUAAAAACUAUUUAGUGAGUGCAGAAGCAAAAACAAACAUGAACACAUAAAUGGGGCCACAAAAGAGUCCUAGUAAAAGAGGAUUCAUGCAUGAUCCAUUCACAGAGGAUUUGGACAUAUUCAAUAAAAGCAAAUGAACACACAUCACUUGCAUCUUCUGUGGACAGGUGGGGGGGAAAAAGCCUAAUAAGAUGAAAUGACCGAGUCCUAGGGCAUCUCAAAAAAUAAUAAUAAUAAAAGUUAUUUGGUGCCACCAUUGUAAAUUCCCAUGCAUAAAUAUUAUAUAUACAUAUACAUACAUACAUAUAUAUACACACACACACACUAUGUCAGCAAGUACUGAGCCCUUUUAAUUCCUAUUUUAUGACUUGGACCAUUAAAAUUCCCACCACUUGGAUUCAAGACACCAAACAAGCCAAGUAAAGGCAAGUUUAUGCAUUCCAAGAAAGAAAGAAAGAAAAAAAGCAAUAUAUAUAGAGAGAGAAAAAGAGUUCAACAAUUAUACUAUCGAUAGUGCCAAACUCUUGGUAUUAUCGAAUUUUCUACCGUUAGAUCUAUUCUUUAAUCAUUUUUAUAUGUUAGAUUACACUAUUCAAUCAACCAUGCAUCCACUCAAAUCUAAGGGAUCACUAUGAUUUUAACUGCAUAUUCUUUUAUUCAACGACCGAAAACUCGAUAACGCCAAACGUUUGGUACUAUAUAUUAAUAGUAUAGCAACAUAACUCUCUCUCUCUCUCUCUAUAUAUAUAUAUAUAUAUAUAUGUUUGUGUGUAUAUGUAUGUGUUAAUGGGAGUAGCUGUUGUGGGUGGUGGCAUCUUUUGCUGCAAUAUCCCUCAAAGAGGGGCCCUUCACCUUGAAAGCUGAAGCCUCUACAUCCCUACAAGUCCCUUUUCUUUCUUUAUUAUUCCUUUUUCUUAAUAUGAGAAAACACUUUUUCUUUUUUUUAUUAUAUCUUGGUUUCUUGUUUUAGUUAAUGAGGGAGAUGAUGAUUCUUUAAUUUCCCUUGUGGGUUUAGGACUCUGGAAUCUAGAUAGGUUGAGAUCUUCAAGAACCAAUAAUACAAUAAGUUUGAAAAGUGUAUAUGCCACCCAUGUGGGCACACACUAUGCAUUGUUUCCACCCCCCCCACAACUUAUAUAGAUUAGAUUACUAAGAUUGGGUUUAAGCAUUUUAGGCAUGGAUCCAUUUGUUAAAGGGACAUUAAUUGAAUGUGACAAUGUGGGCACACACUAUGCAUUGUUUCCACCCCCCCCACAACUUAUAUAGAUUAGAUUACUAAGAUUGGGUUUAAGCAUUUUAGGCAUGGAUCCAUUUGUUAAAGGGACAUUAAUUGAAUGUGACAAUGACUUGUUGGAUACCUCUUCUUUUUUCUUUAUUCUUUUUUCUUUUUAUAAAAAAAGAUCACCUCCCAACCUAUAUUCUAAGCUGCAAUUAUUGCAGGGUAAAAAGGAGGGGGAAAAGAAGAAGGAAAAAAAAAAACAUAUAUAUUCUAAACUUUUGUUAUGUAGCAUGGUGAGGACACACACAUGGUUUUGUCAAAAUUAAUCUGGCUUUCAAAAAAAGAAAAAAAAAGAAAAAAGGGAGGGGUGAGAGUGCAUAUGUAUAUGGGGGAACAAAGAAACCCAAUAAAUAAAUAAAUAAAUACAUGAUUGUUUCUUUAUUAGUAUCCACAUAUGAUAAUUAGGUUGGUUCUAAUUUAGGACUUCGUUUGAUAUCGUUGCUGAUUAUUUAUUUUUUAAAUAUUAAAUUUAUAUAAUUUAACAUACUGAUGGAAAAAAAAUAUUUUACUAUCAAGUUUAGUUAACUUGCAAUGCAUUAUGGCCAACAAGUGAUUAAUAUGUAAUAAUUUUUAAAUUUAUGUUUUUUUUGGAAAAAAAGGACAGUGGUAUCAAACGAGACCUAAACAUUUUAAAUUUUUUUAAUUAACUUUCGGAUAUAGUGAAAUAUUUAGUUUCUGCGACUUUCAAAAAGAAUUAAACUUUGAAUGUGAAAUAUCAAUCCAUUAUGUUUAAAAGUAAACUAAAAUAAGUAAAUUAUCUACAAUAGAAGGAUAAACUUUCCUGCAUAAAAAUAUUGAAGUUAAAAAGGUAUAAUUAAAAAGCAAGUUGUAAUAAAUGAAUGCUACAUAUAUAGAGUACUAUAGAGACCUGUUCAUAUAUUUUCACCUAAAAAUAAGUAGUGUAGGGACAUCUCCUGUUCCAAUGCAAGUAAAACUCAGAGACUUUGGAUGGGGAGGAAAUGUGAAUUAAUUAAGGGAAAACUUCAAAAACCCCCCUUGUGAUUUUAUUUUUUUUCACUUUAGUAUUCUGUGGUUUAAAAUGUAUCAAAUUAGUAUCCUGUGGUUUCUCACGUACCUUAUCACUUUAGUACCAUGUGGUUUAAAAUGUGUCAAGUUAGUACCUGUGGUUUUGCACUUUAUCACUUUAGUACCCUGUGGUUUCGCACUUUAUCACUUUAGUACCCUGUGGUUUAAAAAUCACAGGGUACUAACUCGAUACAAAAUUAAAAUCACAGGGUACUAAAGUGCUAAAGUACAAAAUCACAGUAUACUAACUUGAUACACUUUAAACCAUAGGGCACUAAAGUGAUAAAGUGAAAAACCACAGGGUACUAACUUGAUACAUUUUAAACCACAGGGUACUAAAAUAAAAAAGUGUGAAACCACAAGGGGGGUUUUUGAAGUUUUCCGAUUAAUUAAUAGGUAAACUUCAUAUACUACUCCUGUUGUUUCACAGUUUCUCACUUUAGUACCCUUUGGUUUAAAGUAUAUCUAGUUAGUGCCAUGUGGUUUUAUUUUUAUCUUUUCGUCCGUUUCUCUAUUAAUAUUUCAUUAAAUUAUAUAUAAAAAAACUUCAGAUAUUUCACCUAAAUUUAUCGAAUAUUCACUUCAGUACUUUUUAGUUUUAACUUUGUCACUGAUUUAACGAAAAAAAUUAGUGGAAUCGAUAAUAAAACGAUAAAAAUGAAACCACAUGAAACUAAAUUGAUACACUUUAAAUCACAGGGUAUUAAAAUAAGAAAGUGUAAAACCGCAGGAGUGGUAUUUGAAGUUUUUCCUUAAUUAAUUAAUUCCUCUUUCUUUCUCACUUUAAUUUUGGAAAAUUCUAUUUGUACAUAGCAAUAAAAGUGAAGUGUAGAUUUUAUACCCUUUAUUUUAAAAUUCAUAAAAUUUUAAAUAAUUUUUUAAUUUAAAAAAAAUUAAUAUGACAAAUAAAAUAUAAUAAUCUUUAAACUGAAAAAGUGUAAGAUAGAUACUCUCACUUUGUAAUAUAUCAAUAGCAUUACUUUUUUAUUAGGCUAAAUUAGAGAAAACUUUUCUAUAAAUACCUACAUUUUUACUUUUUUUUCUAACUUUUAAAAAUCUAUAUUUUGCCAUUUAAAAUUUUAAAAAUAUUUUCAGAGAAAUACAAUAUUAACGUAGAGGGCAAAAUGACCAAAUUACUCUCACUUCUUUUAUAACAAAAAAUAAUUUUUUAAUAUAUUUUUGUUGUUUUAAAAAAUAUUUUCAGUAUAAAUUAUAAAAAAUGAAUAAAAUAGUGAUGAAAUUUUGACAAAAGAUGGCUAAAUGCAAGUGAGGGGAUAAAAUAUAGAUUUUAAAAAAUUAGAAAAAAAAAGUGAAAAAUUAACUAUUUAUGAAAAAAAAUUAUGUAAUUUAGCUAUUAUAUUAUUAUUAUGUUAUUUAUUUAAGGGAGAAGGUUGUGAG
rnacentral:lncRNA from 1 species